rnacentral:rRNA from 1 species
UACGAGUGCCUCGAGCGUUAUCCGGAAUUAUUGGGCGUAAAGGGUGUGUAGGCGGCUGUGUUAGUCCUGUGUAAAAUUCUUCGGCUUAACCGGGGGCUCGCACAGGAAACGGCACGGAUUGAGGAUGGGAGGGGUCUCGCGGAACUCAUGGUGUAGCGGUGAAAUGCGUUGAUAUCAUGGGGAACACCAAAAGCGAAGGCAGCAGACUGGCCCACUCCUGACGCUGAAACACGAAAGCGUGGGUAGCGAAUGGG